CUGACAUUAGAUGACUUUCACAUGGUGUCUUGAAAGGUUCCCUCUGUUUAACACUAGGGGAAAACACUCUCAGCGAAGUAAACUGGGGAAUGCGGGACAGCUAGUCUGAUUAAGAAAACACCAAAUAUAAAGUCCUCAAGAGACAGCAUGCACACACGCACUCACUCGAACGUUCUGCACACAGACUGAUGUACAAAAUGGCACCUGCUUCUGCCACAAACUGGGGGUUUCUUCUGCAUAUGAAAGUGAAGCAUACAGAAAACAGAAGGAUGUCUUCUCUCAGUGCCCAAGCGACAUAUGCCACCUGCUGGGUUACUGCUGAUGUUAACAGAUUCUUUGAUCUGUCACGAGGAUGCCUUUAUUGUCAUUCUGAAGUUGCAACUCCUUGAAAUGUAAGUAACCUGCUGGCGAGAUGGUAUCAAACACCGUUAUAUUGACUAAAUUUAAAUUACUGUCUAGAGAGUUAAUUACUGGUCCAGAUUCACUUCAAAGUUCUUCUAGAAAUUGACCCCAAAUUAGCUAUAUCAGAGUCCUGCCUUAUUUUUGCAAGACACAAAAAUUCUCCGAAUGCUGAGAUUCAACAUGUUCUCAUCUUACAGGACUGACACAUCAAGGACAAUCUUUUCUGAGAAUCACAUGUCAUCCAGGCCUGCAGUGAAUUAAAGCCUCUGAACAAAAAACAUUCUCUUGAAUGUCACAAACGAUGCUUCAUGAGACAAAAGAGCUAUAUCGUCAAACAGUUAUAAUGGAGCUAAACAAAAACAAACUCCUGCAAAGUGCAAGCAGCAUGCUCCAAAGGUGUGGUUAGGCAUCAGAACCUUGUGAAAUUACUGAGGGUUUGAUGUAAGUAGCAUAAAAUGGCAAAAAUAGUGAAAACAGGAUUUAAAAAAUGACCUGAGAUUCAUUCUAUCGUCUUGCCUUUUUUGCACCACUUCAUUCAUUAAUCAAUUUUCCCAAUUAAAAGAUUUUAGGAGCAUGGAAUUGCCCCAUU